rnacentral:sRNA from 1 species
GCAUCUCCGGUUGAACGCAUGGCGGCCGCUUCUCUACUCGCCGUCGUGCAGUCAAUCGAAGAUGAUCGUCAGCAGCGGAGAAAACACCAUGAACCGCAACGUUAUCAUUGGCAUUAUCGUGCUCGCGAUUAUCAUUCUCGCGGUCAUAUUCUUCAUGCCAGGGACGGCUGAAACGCCCCCGGCGACUGAAACAACUCCCCCGGCGACGACGGAGCCCGCGCCCACAGAACCGGCACCGGCACCGACGACACCUGCGCCCUCUCAAUAAAGCCGGCCGAUCGCACGCCCCGUUUAGAGACGGGGCGUGCGAUCGGAUCCU